rnacentral:misc_RNA from 1 species
AAGUCGUAACAAGGUUUCCGUAGGUGAACCUGCGGAAGGAUCAUUAACGAAUGACAAGUCGGUCGUCUGUGCUGGCGGAAACGCAUGUGCACGUCGGUCGCAAAUCCACACACCCGUGCACUUUGGACUUUGGGGCUCGCGUUCGCACGCAGUCGGUCGCCUCUGGGCGACUUGAGCCCCGAGGUGUUUACACACACUCUGAAUGUAAUGGAAUGUACCUGUGCUUAAUCGCGCAUUUAAUACAACUUUCAACAACGGAUCUCUUGGUUCUG